GAUGAACGCUAGCGGCAGGCUUAACACAUGCAAGUCGAGGGGCAGCAUAAACAUUGCUUGCAAUGUUUGAUGGCGACCGGCGCACGGGUGCGUAACGCGUAUGUAACCUACCUUAAACAGGGGCAUAACACUGAGAAAUUGGUACUAAUUCCCCAUAACACCUUCUAGGGCAUCCUAUUAGGUUGAAAGUUCCGGCGGUUUAAGAUGGACAUGCGUUGUAUUAGCUAGUUGGUGGGGUAACGGCUCACCAAGGCGAAGAUACAUAGGGGGACUGGGAGGUUAACCCCCCACAUUGGUACUGAGACACGGACCAAACUCCUACGGGAGGCAGCAGUGAGGAAUAUUGGUCAAUGGACGCAAGUCUGAACCAGCCAUGCCGCGUGCAGGAAGACGGCUCUACGAGUUGUAAACUGCUUUUGUACGAGGGUAAUAACAGAUACGUGUAUCUGCUUGAAAGUACCGUACGAAUAAGGAUCGGCUAACUCCGUGCCAGCCGCCGCCGUAAUAC
rnacentral:rRNA from 1 species